rnacentral:rRNA from 1 species
ACGGAAGGCAGCAGUGGGGAAUAUUGCACAAUGGGCGAAAGCCUGAUGCAGCGACGCCGCGUGAGUGAUGAAGUAUUUCGGUAUGUAAAGCUCUAUCAGCAGGGAAGAUAAUGACGGUACCUGGCUAAGAAGCACCGGCUAAAUACGUGCCAGCAGCCGCGGUAAUACGUAUGGUGCAAGCGUUAUCCGGAUUUACUGGGUGUAAAGGGAGCGCAGGCGGUACGGCAAGUCUGAUGUGAAAGCCCGGGGCUCAACCCCGGUACUGCAUUGGAAACUGUCGAACUAGAGUGUCGGAGGGGUAAGUGGAAUUCCUAGUGUAGCGGUGAAAUGCGUAGAUAUUAGGAGGAACACCAGUGGCGAAGGCGACUUACUGGACGAUAACUGACGCUGAGGCUCGAAAGCGUGGGGAGCAAACAGGAUUAGAUACCCUGGUA